GAUGAACGCUGGCGGCGUGCCUAAUACAUGCAAGUCGAGCGGACAGACGCGGAGCUUGCUGCUCUGACGUUAGCCGAGGACGUGUGUGUAACGCGUGGAUAACCUACCUAUCAGACUGGUAUAACUUCGGGACACCGGAGCUAAUACCGGAUAAUAUCUUGAACCACGUGGGUCAAUAGUGAGAGACGGCUUUGCUGUCAGUUAUAGAUGCAUACGCGCUGUAUUGGCUGGUUGUGAAGGUCACGGCUUAUCACGGCAACGAUGCGUAGCCGACCUGAGAGGGGGAUAGGCGACCUUGGAGCUGAGACACGGUCCAGACGCCUACGAGAGGCAGCAGUAGGGAAUCUUCCGCAAUGGGCGAGAGCCUGACGGAGCAACGCGGCGUGAGUGAUGAAGGUGUUCGGAUCGUAAAACUCUGUUAUUAGGGAAGAACAGAUGUGUAAGUAACUGUGCACGUAUUGACGGUACCUAAUCAGAAAGCCCCGGCUAACUACGUG
rnacentral:rRNA from 1 species